AUUGAACGCUGGCGGCAUGCUUUACACAUGCAAGUCGAACGGUAACAGGCCGCAAGGUGCUGACGAGUGGCGAACGGGUGAGUAAUGCAUCGGAACGUGCCCAGUCGUGGGGGAUAACGCAGCGAAAGCUGUGCUAAUACCGCAUACGAUCUAUGGAUGAAAGCGGGGGACCGUAAGGCCUCGCGCGAUUGGAGCGGCCGAUGGCAGAUUAGGUAGUUGGUGGGGUAAAGGCUCACCAAGCCAACGAUCUGUAGCUGGUCUGAGAGGACGACCAGCCACACUGGGGCUGAGACACGGCCCAGACUCCUACGGGAGGCAGCAGUGGGGAAUUUUGGACAAUGGGCGCAAGCCUGAUCCAGCAAUGCCGCGUGCAGGAAGAAGGCCUUCGGGUUGUAAACUGCUUUUGUACGGGACGAAAAGGUUUGGGUUAAUACCCUGGGCCGAUGACGGUACCGUAAGAAUAAGCACCGGCUAACUACGUGCCAGCAGCCGCCGUAA
rnacentral:rRNA from 1 species